AACGAACGCUGGCGGCGUGGAUAAGACAUGCAAGUCGAACGGGAUCAUUGAGGUAGCAAUAUCGCGAUGGUCUAGUGGCGAACGGGUGCGUAACACGUGGAUACAUUCCGGGAAGCGGGGGAUAGCCCAGGGAAACUUGGAUUAAUACCGCAUGUGGUCGAAAGACUAAAGGCAGGGACCGCAAGGCCUGCCACUUCCCGAUUGGUCCGCGGCCUAUCAGCUAGUUGGCGGGGUAAAAGCCCACCAAGGCUACGACGGGUAGCUGGUCUUAGAGGACGACCAGCCACACUGGAACUGAGACACGGUCCAGACACCUACGGGUGGCAGCAGUCGAGAAUCUUUCACAAUGGGGGGCAACCCUGAUGGAGCGACGCCGCGUGGAGGAUAAGGUCUUCGGAUUGUAAACUCCUGUCAUGUGUGAACAAGGCUGCCGUGUUAAUAGCAUGGCAGAUUGAUGGUAACACAAGAGGAAGAGACGGCUAAACUCUGUGCCAGCAGCC
rnacentral:rRNA from 1 species